rnacentral:tRNA from 1 species
UGUCACGUAAUUCAAUUGGCAGAAUCAAUGCCCUUGGCCAGGGUAGGUUGCUCGUUCGAAUCGAGCCGUGACAGC